UGAGUAAAUCAGGUGGUCGCGGGCGCCCGGCCAGGGCGCCUGAGGAAAGUCCGAGCUCCGCAGGGCAGGGUGCUGGGUAACACCCAGUGGGGGCGACCCCAAGGAAAGUGCCAUAGAAAUGAAGACCGCCCAGCACUCAACCUGGUGUUUGGCAGGCAAGUGUAGCCAAAAGGGUUGCCUUCACCAGGGAGGGAACCUAUCAAGUAUCAGGUUGAGUGCUGGGCAAGGGUGGAACGGUGCGGUAAGAGCGCACCAGCGGCCGGGCGACCGGCCGGCUUGGUAAACCCCACCUGGAGCAAGACCAAAUAGGGGGGCAGAGGGGCGGCCCGUCCCGCUCCCGGGUUAGGUCGCUAGAGGCGCCGGGUAACCGGCGUCCCAGACAGAUGAUCACCCACGACAGAACUCGGCUUAUCGAUUUACUCACUAC
rnacentral:RNase_P_RNA from 1 species